CCAAUAGCGUAUAUUAAAGUUGUUGCAGUUAAAAAGCUCGUAGUUGAAUUUCGGAGUUUGUCGGUUGGUCGGGCUUCACUGUCCGCACUGGCCUGAUGGAUUCCUACCUUCUGAAUAACCAGCAUGCUAUUAAGUUAGUGCGUUGGGGAAGCAGAGCUAUUACCUUGAAAAAAUUAGAGUGCUUAAAGCAGGCUUAUGCUUGAAUAGAUUAGCAUGGAAUAAUAAAAUAGGACGGCAUGGUUCUAUUUUGUUGGUUUCUAGGAUCACCGUAAUGAUUAAUAGGGAUAGUUGGGGGCAGUAGUAGUCAAUUGUCAGAGGUGAAAUUCUUGGAUUUAUUGAAGACUAACUGCUGCGAAAGCAUUUGCCAAGGAUGUUUUCAUUAAUCAAGAACGAAAGUUAGGGGAUCGAAGACGAUCAGAUACCGUCGUAGUCUUAACCAUAAACUAUGCCGACUAGGGAUCGGACGAUGUUAAUUUUUUAAUGACUCGUUCGGCGCCUUACG
rnacentral:misc_RNA from 1 species